rnacentral:rRNA from 1 species
GAUGAACGCUGGCGGCGUGCCUAGUACAUGCAAGUCGAGCGAACGGACGAGAAGCUUGCUUUUCUGAUGUUAGCGGCGGACGGGUGAGUAACACGUGGAUAACCUACCUAUAAGACUGGGAUAACUUCGGGAAACCGGAGCUAAUACCGGAUAAUAUUUUGAACCGCAUGGUUCAAAAGUGAAAGACGGUCUUGCUGUCACUUAUAGAUGGAUCCGCGCUGCAUUAGCUAGUUGGUAAGGUAACGGCUUACCAAGGCAACGAUGCAUAGCCGACCUGAGAGGGUGAUCGGCCACACUGGAACUGAGACACGGUCCAGACUCCUGCGGGAGGCAGCAGUAGGGAAUCUUCCGCAAUGGGCGAAAGCCUGACGGAGCAACGCCGCGUGAGUGAUGAAGGUCUUCGGAUCGUAAAACUCUGUUAUUAGGGAAGAACAUAUGUGUAAGUAACUGUGCACAUCUUGACGGUACCUAAUCAGAAAGCCACGGCUAACUACGUG